UACGGCGGGUGCAAGCGUUAAUCGGAAUUACUGGGCGUAAAGCGUGCGCAGGCGGUUUGUUAAGUCUGUUGUGAAAUCCCCGAGCUCAACUUGGGAAUUGCAAUGGAUACUGGCAGGCUGGAGUAUGGUAGAGGAAGGUGGAAUUCCCGGUGUAGCAGUGAAAUGCGUAGAGAUCGGGAGGAACACCAGUGGCGAAGGCGGCCUUCUGGACCAAUACUGACGCUCAUGCACGAAAGCGUGGGGAGCAAACAGG
rnacentral:rRNA from 1 species